AGAGGAGGAGGGCUGGAAGGGGCCAGGGGAUUUUGAGGGAUGAGGGUACAGAUGCUGGGGCUGGUUAGGAAGACUCCAGUAGGCAAGUGUGAGAUAACUAAGCUUAUGGAGAUGGCGAGUAUGAAACAGACUUACGGAAAACAACAGAGGACUGCAGAGAAGAUAUGGAGGCAAGAUUAUUUUGUGGUGGAUGUACAAUUCAGUAGGAGGCCCCAGGGCCAGGUUGUUUUAGGUAGAAACUUUUCAGAUGGAAAGGAGGAGAGGGAAGGCUAUGAUUUCCAGAGAGAGGAUGGUUUUGGAAAGCUCUCUUUGGUGGGCAGGAGGGACUUGAAAGACACAGGAAGUGUGAGAGGGCUGUUCUUUGCUUCCCAUUUCACCUCAUCUGACCAAUUCCCCUCUGUACUUUCCUGUGAGCAGCUGACUGCCUGGGAGAGAAAUGCACUUCUUUAUUCAGUUCCUAUUUCUUCUACCACGCUUCAGGUUGCAACGUGCCAUAUGCUGGGUGUAUAUUUUCUAUAUAGAGAUCCAUUCCUUCGCUGGAAAGUCUUAGGUACCUCCGGAUUACAGAAGCUUGAAAACCACAAGUGUGGUUAUAGCCUGCUCCAUUUGUACUUCAGAGGUAUCUGUUCUGACCAAAACCUAUGUUUGAUGUGAUAUGCUUGGACGGACAAACAAAACCACAGUGAAAAUUUAACAACUAAGAGAGCCAAGAGAGACUCCUUGCAUGGGUGAGAAGGGAACUGAAAAUGCCAUUUUUCAGGGUUCAUCAGUACUGAAGGAAGACAACAGACAAGAUCUGCUAGGGGUAAAUGUUUUUCUAUCAUCUGUCUUGGCUAGCUUGCACCUAAGAGUUCUGAAAGAGUUGGCUGAAGACAUUUCUGUUUCACAGAUGUUCAUUUUUUAAUAAGUCACAAAAUCUCACGAAACUCCAGAAAAGAGAAAGAACUGCAAUAUUGUGACAGCAAUCAAAUAUGGAAAGUGAGAUGACCCAGAGUUGUCAGCUGGUUUAGCUGGUAUCACCUUCCAGCCAAAUGUUGGACAAUCUGGUACAGGAUUCAAUUAACAAGAAAUUAAUUUUCAUAUGAACGUAAUCCAAGUCUGAAUGAAUGAUUUGAGGAAAUAAAUUGGGUUUAAUUUUUUGAAACAACAAAUGAAAUCAGUUUUGGUAAC
ensembl:lncRNA